UACGAAUGGGGCAAGCGUUGUUCGGAAUCACUGGGCUUAAAGCGUAUGCAGGUGGCCAAGCAAGUCAGAAGUGAAAUCCCUGGGCUCAACCCAGGAAUUGCUUUUGAAACUGCUCGGCUAGAAUCCCGGAGAGGUUAGUAGAAUUCCAAGUGUAGAGGUGAAAUUCGCAGAUAUUCGGAGGAAUACCAGUGGCGUAAGCGACUAACUGGACGGGCAUUGACACUCAGAUACGAAAGCGUGGGUAGCAAAC
rnacentral:rRNA from 1 species